CGGGGCUUAAUGUCUUGUAAUUGGAAUGAUGGGAAUUUAAACCUCUUCCAGAGUAUCAAUUGGAGGGCAAGUCUGGUGCCAGCAGCCGCGGUAAUUCCAGCUCCAAUAGCGUAUAUUAAAAUUGUUGCAGUUAAAAAGCUCGUAGUUGAAUUUCUGUUGCAUUGAUAUUUCUCUUGUUGAGUUUAUCAUUGUGGCUUAUUUCGGAUUGAUUUUUUUCUUUCCGGAUGAUUACUUUGAGAAAAUUAGAGUGCUCAAAGCAGGCUUUUGCCUUGAAUAGUUUAGCAUGGAAUAAUAAAGUAGGACUUUGGUUCUAUUUUGUUGGUUUUAGGUACCAAAGUAAUGGUUAAUAGGAACAGUUGGGGGCAUUCGUAUUUAACUGUCAGAGGUGAAAUUCUUAGAUUUGUUAAAGACGAACUACUGCGAAAGCAUUUGCCAAGGAUGUUUUCAUUAAUCAAGAAC
rnacentral:rRNA from 1 species